rnacentral:rRNA from 1 species
GACGAACGCUGGCGGCGUGCUUAACACAUGCAAGUCGAGCGGUAAGGCCCUUUCGGGGGUACACGAGCGGCGAACGGGUGAGUAACACGUGGGUGACCUGCCCUUAGCUCUGGGAUAAGCCUGGGAAACUGGGUCUAAUACCGGAUAUGACUCCAUGACGCAUGUUGUGGGGUGGAAAGCCUUGUGCGGCUAGGGAUGGGCCCGCGGCCUAUCAGCUUGUUGGUGGGGUGAUGGCCUACCAAGGCGACGACGGGUAGCCGGCCUGAGAGGGCGACCGGCCACACUGGGACUGAGACACGGCCCAGACUCCUACGGGAGGCAGCAGUGGGGAAUCUUGCGCAAGUGGGACGAAAGCCUGACGCAGCGACGCCGCGUGAGGAUGAC